rnacentral:lncRNA from 1 species
AUGAGGAAAGCAGAGGUGAAAUCUCAGCAGGACCGACUGGUCCUUGGAGGGAGCCAGCAAAUGUCAGCUUGCGGGGAGGCAUCUCAAGGCCCAAAGGGUGGAUCAUGGGAAGGGCUUUGGGCAGAUGCUGCGGCCCUCAAGGCCGCAGUGUCUCUGUUCCUUAAGCUAGUGAAGACAUUAAUAUGCAAAACUGGACUCCAGGAGCUGGUCUUGUAUCAGCGCAGACAGCAGCGACCCAAGGCACACACGGACCUUGGACUUCGCUCUGGGCGGACUGCAGGAGAUCAGCCCAGCCUGGAUGCCCUCGCUGAUGGAGCAACUGGGACAAAUGAGCCGUGGCACCACGGCGUCCCCUUGCACCAGGGGCGCGACAGCUCUGCAUCACCGCGGCCCCUUCCCGCAGCCCGAGCCCCCACUAGCCCUCUGCUCCCGGAGGAGCAGUUCACUCUGAGGACGUGCUGGGCUGGAGGUGGAAAAAGGCACCGGGUGAAACCCCUCUGCGACCAGUCGCUGUUGCAUUGGGGUGGGCCGAUCCCCGCAGCCAUCCCUGAUUCCCGAGCCCUGGGUGGUGGCUGCUUCUUUACUUCUCCCAAAGUAAAGGCAAGGGAGCAGUUCUCGCACAUCACUGCAGCUUUCUGGUCGCGUGGAGCGCAUUUCCUCCUGCUGAUGGCCAAAGUCUCAACGUGGCUCUUCCUGCACCUUGAGGCCCCCGGGCAGCUCCUUCCCCGGGGGCAGCUCUGCGCCCGCUGCUGUUCCUACGCGGGCCUGGAGGACCCAAGCGUGGCGAUUCGGGGCGAGGGGCUGCGCUUCUGCGGCAGCCCGCUGUUUGCAGCGCCUGGCUCCGACCCCCGGGCUGGCUGCCCUGCGGGGGCUCGGCUGAGUCGCUGCUGCUGCUGCUGCCUGCUGCCGCAGCGCUCCACUUCUAUUUUCGUUUGCUUUGCUCCUUUGCCGCAUUGUUUCCUGUGCCGAAAGAGCUUCGGGAGGCCGUGUUGUGUCCGACCCCCGGGAACAACACCGGGCUGCCCCUCCGCCCCCCCCAGCUCCCCUGUGUAG